rnacentral:lncRNA from 1 species
GGGACAGCACCGGAUGCUUUGCUGAGAUCUGUCCGAAGGAAUGAUGGCUUGAUGGCCGGGAGUGCCGAAGUACAGCUCCUGGGAUAGGUGGACCACAUUGCCCUCCCUGACCUUGCUCGUGACCCCUCCUGCUUCCCCUGCUCCCGCUUUCCGUGACAGGAUCCUAAUGAAAGGCUAAAGAAAAUUGCAAUCCAGGCUUCAGCCCUGGAAGCUGCAGCCCCCUGAUUCCACAACUUUGUCUCUCUUGUUUUUCUUUUCACCCACUGCACCUUGUUUCCGAGACCUGUCACCCCACAGAAACCAACAGGCGCCCUCUGAGUGUCUCAGGAUGGCGUCUACACACCUGGCCACAGAGGCAGCGCCGCCCUCUUUCCAGCGAAGAAUUCUCCACCCACGGCGCCAGGAGUCCGUUCUGGGCUCAGGAGCCCAGCAAGGGGCUGGACAGGGUCGACCCAAGCAGGGGCCCUGGGGUCGAAAGACAAGAAGGGGAAGUGAGACGAAGAGCAGCCCGUUCCCCCAGAUUCAACUCAGGAAAAACUGGACCUGCUCCCCGAGGAAUUGUUCCUCACCAAGAGGUGAGAGUCUCUGACUAAAAAAUUCCAUGUGUUCAUUGUAAAAGAUUCUACUGCAUUAAUAAGUGGAAAAGCCAGGCAUGAUGGUGCCUGCCUGUAAUCCCUGCACUCUGGGAGGCUGAGGCAGGAGGAUUACAAGUUUG